UUUCACUGAUCUCAUCAGUGAAGCAACUUUUCACUGUUAAAACAGUUAUUAUUUCACUGCUUGAAAUUGUUCGGUUAUUUCAACUAUCAAAACAGUGAAUAUUCACUUUCAAAAAACAGUGAAAUUCAUUCACUGUUCAAAACAGUGAAUUGAUCUUCCCGCCGAAUCGUAUCGAUUAACAAAAUGGCCGCCGGCGGUGCAGUAGCGCGGAAGGUCAGUUUGGCGGGAUCGUGCGACAAGUUGACACAUGCGGAUGCCCUCGCGGAUGCCGGACACGUGCGGAUGCCGUAUAUUUGACGAACUCGUUGCUCGUUUCUAUUGCUGCUCUUGCUGCUUAUAAUAUAUUGGUACGCAAACAAUACUUCGUAUAAGCAUACGAAAAAUCAAUUGAUGUAUGUACAGACAUACAAGAAGGUUAUCUCGAGGCUUGAGGGUUAUAUGCAAUAUACAUAACGUAGAGAGAAGCAGCUUUUCAACUUAUUUGUUGUGUGCACUCGUUAAACAAAGUUUUUCAUUCCUCUAAAACCAUAAACGAUGGAUCAGAUGAAAGAUCCUGCAGAUUUGAGGAGUUAUUUGGAAAAUAUUAUUAAUGAUAAAUCAGCUGUCGAACUACUAGAAGGAUUCGCACUGAGAGAAGAUUGUGGCUAUAUAUAUGUCCACGAUCAAAAUUAUUCAAGAUGAUAAUCUUAAGGCUUUACUGAUCUUAAUCGACUUGCUUCCUACAUCGAACGCAUGCAUAAGAGGUGGCAAAGAGUAUUGAAAGCAUACAGAAUUUUUCAGAAGAAAAAAGACUGCGCAUGGGAACGCCUAUUCAACCGUACAUAGUCGCUAUUGAUGGGCGUACUACACAGUUUCAAGUCCAAGGCGAUGGCCGUAUUAUUGCCCGAAAACCCUCAAAUGAAAUAAUCACUACAUUUUACCUUCUGUUUAAAAUGUAUUAUGUUUUUAACUUAACGUAUCCUAUUCUACUACAGAAUUUUUAUCUCUUUAUGCAAGUAAAUGUUUAUGGCAUACAGGACAAGUGCCCUGAAAGUGUAUCGUCGUUGUAUACUGCCUUAAAUUCUGUAGAAGAAGAGGAUGAUGAAGAAAUCUCCGAAAAUAAUACAGAUGAAAAAUAAAAUUGUUUAAUAUGUACGAAAA
rnacentral:lncRNA from 1 species